rnacentral:rRNA from 1 species
GACGAACGCUGGCGGCGUGCUUAACACAUGCAAGUCGAACGGAAUUCAUCCCAGCUUGCUGGGAGAAGAUUUAGUGGCGAACGGGUGAGUAACGCGUGGGCAACCUGCCCUAGAGAUCGGGAUAACUCCUCGAAAGGGGGGCUAAUACCGGAUACCUUCACGAUCACGCAUGUGAUUGUGAAGAAAGCCUUCGGGCGCUUUAGUAUGGGCCCGCGUUCCAUUAGCUUGUUGGUGAGGUAAAAGCUUACCAAGGCCUUGAUGGAUAGCCGGCCUGAGAGGGUGAACGGCCACACUGGGACUGAGAUACGGCCCAGACUCCUACGGGAGGCAGCAGUGGGGAAUAUUGCGCAAUGGGCGAAAGCCUGACGCAGCAACGCCGUGUGGACGAUGAAGGCCUUCGGGUUGUAAAGUCCUGUCACAGGGGACGAAGCCUUGACUUGUCAAGGUGACGGUACCCUGAGAGGAAGCCCCGGCUAACUACGUGCCAGCCGCCGCCGUAA